rnacentral:rRNA from 1 species
CACGGGGGGAGCAAGCGUUGUUCGGAAUCACUGGGCGUAAAGGGCGUGUAGGCGGUCAGGUAAGUGGGAUGUGAAAGCCCUCGGCUCACCCGAGGAUCUGCAUCUCAAACUGCCUGGCUUGAGUAUGGGAGAGGAUGAGGGAAUUCCCGGUGUAGCGGUGAAAUGCGUAGAUAUCAGGAGGAACACCGGUGGCGAAGGCGCACAUCUGGCCCGAUACUGACGCUGAGGCGCGAAAGCUAGGGGAGCAAACGGG